rnacentral:lncRNA from 1 species
GAGGUUCCUGCAGGGGCAUAAGGAGGGCUGGACCACGGGAGAAAGCUGGUUUGCUUCUAUUGGUCAGUGGAGCUACCCAAAGAUGGGGCAAACCCCUCUGGGAUAGACAGAUUAUCAUCUUGUAUACAGAGAAUUAAUUAGGUUCACAAAAUAACCCUAUCAAUCACCAAGCCCUUGCAAUUCUAGAAUUCUGGUGCCAGGCUCCUACUUCCAAAGGAAUUAUUCCUCAAAUGGUCUUUAGAUGAGCGAGCUGCAUUCAACCUCUGCCCUGCAUCCCAACUACCAUCUUGAUUCUUAGCUAAUUUUUACUUGCAAACAGCAGAAGCAAUGGGCCAACUCACUGAAAAGACAAGAAUAAAGUGAGGAUUUUUUUUUAGACCAUAAUACCCUUUGUCUUCCUAGAAGUAAUCCCUGGAGCCUGCCUGCCCUGUGUCCAGCACUAAUCUAUGAGCUUGUGAUAUUUCUUUCUUUAAGCUAGUCAUAUUUAGCAGUGGGGCUUGUGAUAUUUCUGGUUUCCUGAUCUCUCUCCUCUUCAAAUAAACGCAAGAUAUCUA